rnacentral:rRNA from 1 species
UACAGAGGUCCCCGAGCGUUGUUCGGAUUCAUUGGGCGUAAAGGGUGUGUAGGAGGUCAAAUAAGUCAGGCGUGAAAUCUCACCGCUUAACGGUGAAAUUGCGCUUGAUACUGUUUGGCUAGAGGAUUUGAGGGGGUAACGGAAUUCUUGGUGUAGCAGUGAAAUGCGUAGAUAUCAAGAGGAACACCAGUGGCGAAGGCGGUUACCUGGAAAAUUCCUGACUCUGAAACACGAAAGCUAGGGGAGCAAA